AUACCAUGUUGUGGACAUUUCCUCAAGAGUGUCUUGAACCUCUCCCAAGCCUCAUAGAUAGACUCUGACUCUUUUUUGCUUGAAUCCUGUAAUCUCAUCCUUCAAUUU